UUUCCUUCCACGGGAUUAGUUUCGUUUUGUUCUAUUAUUUUCAAAUGCCUAUGUAUAGCUAUUUGCUCCUUAUGGCUGGCAUAAUACAUUCGACAUCUUUUUCGGCUUAGUUCUCUUUGAUUUUGCAUUUGUUUAGGGUGAUUGGUGGUUCCUUGAGUGCUGGAGUCAGCCAUAUUUUUGAAGUAUUCAUCAGGAAAAGCAUAAACAUCAUAGCAUAUUGGUCCAAAGGGAGUCUUCUAACGAAGAAUUUAAAUUAUAUACAUUAAGUUUAUAUUUUUUUAGUUUUAAAGUUUAAAACAUUCAUAAUUGAUUGUCAUUUUUUAAGCUUAAUAGAUUUGAAACUGAUCGGUACGUAAAAAUAAGAUAGAAACUUGCAAUAAUCUAGAGUAUAUCAUAAAAGAUCAGCAUGCUUACUGAAAAGCAAUGAAAAAAGGAACUCAAAGAUGCGUAGUUUACAAGGAUAUAAAGGGGACAACUCAAGCAAGAGAUAUUUAACAAGAAUUUGGGAAGAAAAUUGAAUGUGUAUGAAUGUGAAGCAAGAUCAGAGACAAGAAGGUUAUGAGACAAAGCUCAUUGAAGCUGUUUGGAUUCUUUUGCUCCGAUAGAAUAUGGCAUUGUAAAUCAUAGGGCUUGGAAACCAUGAGGUUCGAGAUGCUUCCAUGUGGGUUAAAUUUACCACACGCAUCCAUGUUCCACGGCAACUACAACUUCAUGAAAAUGGAGGAAAAUGACAACUGCAACUUUACGACAAUGGAGAGAAUGAUGACCAACUAUAUUAUCGAUGUGAGACACUCUUUUAAUGGGGCAUUUCCCACCUGGAAAAUCCUAUCGGCUAAUUAGUAAAUAAAUGAUAAAACAUUUAUUGGUCAGCUCUAGAACUUAAAAGAGGAUCCCAUGUAUUCGAUUUGUGAGUUAACAACAAUUGGUCAGUUUUAAAUUGUGAAAAAACCACACUCAAACCAUUUAUCACAUACAAUUAAUGAAAAAGAAUCAAUUAGUAAAUAUUUAUAACUUAAAAGAUCACACAAUCUUUUAUCAUUUAUACAAAUGAUGAAAAAAUAAGUCUAUGUAAAAAUGAUAGCAAGAUUUCAAAAAUAGAUAAUCAAGAUAAAAGGUAAUUUCCAAGUGUGACCAUCACAAAUUGGCAUUCAUGACUCAUUAUUUUACAAUGCACAAGCAUAGACACACACACAUGCACACAUAAACGCACAAACACACACACAUAUUUUGGUAUUAGGAAGAUUUAUUGUCUAUUAUAUUAUGUAGGGGUAAAUUACAUUUUCAUUCUAUUUACAAAUGUAUGCUGACUCUAUUUACAACUAUAUGAUGCCUUUAAGCCUCAACACUUGCAUCAGGGGGAUUUAUUUUCUUCUAUAUUAUAUAGGGGUAAUUAGAUCCUUGACUAUAUUUACAAUUGUGUGCUCGCUUUAAGGCUGGGGGCUCAUAUCAGUACACAUUUCUUUGAUUAUCUCAAGAUGUAUAGUGCUCUCCGAGGCAAAAUAUAGCUGCUUUCCCUUGGUGAUGGCAACUUUCAGUUGAUCUUCAUUAUUGUAUGUUUCAUUUCUACAUGUUAGGCUCAAGAGAAAUUGAUUAUAUGUCACAUUUUUUAUUACCCUUGUGGUUCUUUUCUCAGCAUUCUCAUCAAAUUGAAGCAUGUAUAAUAUUUCUGCAAGCAUGCCCAUAAGUUUUGUUGCCCCUUCAUCAAAUUCAAUAGCCCAUAUUGUAUCUAUGUGGUCUUGCAGGUUUGUCUGGAGGAUGUAUCUAUAGUUACACUCAAACAGGGUCAUGUUACACUUAGAACAAUACCAAGUUUCUUCUUUAGUCUCCUCUUAUCGUUUCUUACAUGGUUUUCCAUUUACUUGGGUUGGACAUGCUGGAUAGAAAAAUGACUGAGAUUUUCUCUAUUGUGUCGUUGCCUUUACAAUGCAAUAGAAGGGUUGCACUGAAUUUGAUGCAUGUGCCCAGAUUUCACUGAUCGUCAUUCUUUGAGGGGUGGGAGUAGGUGCAGCAAGUUGAUGCGCAAUUUCUUGUCCAAUGUCAACAUUUUGGUUAACCAAUCUUCAGUUGGGCCAAUUCCUCUAUAGGAGGGUCUAUGAAGAGGCUUGUAUUAAAUUUUGUACCUAUUACCUUUCCAUUGAAUUCACAUACACUGCCAUUCUUGAUAACAAGAAUAGUUGUUUCUUGUAAAUAAUACCUUCAUUGGAGUUCAGUACCUUCUUUUUCUGCCAUUGCACCCCAUAGUGUAGCAUCAAUGGUUCUUCGAGUCAUGUCGACUAACUUAAUGGUAUGCCUAGGAACCUCUGUACCAUCUCUUUUACGUAUCAUUGAGCUUGGAUGACACUAAUGAUGAUUCCAAUGACGUCAAUGGUUGAGUUGUUAUUUUUUUUAUUCACUUGAUCAAGAGUUGUCAAAAUAUAUCAGUGCUUGGGUAUGGAAGAGUCGUCAUUGCAGGUAACAACCUUUGAAUUAGCUACCAAGGUUAUUUCUAGUCCACUGUUGAGUUUGUUGUAAAUUUUACUGGCUGGCUUUAUUGCUCCCCCAGAUAAUGUGUAAAGGUUGAACCAAAUAUCCUGCUCAAACACACAAACCGCAAACCAUUCAAUUCAAUUUAUUUUGUCUGAGCAAACCAUUGAAGGCGGUUGCUAGCAUGUGGCGGCACAGAAUCCAAUCCCACUCCCGCAGUCGCCGAUGUUGCAGCACUUAGGGCUGUCUGCGUAUCCUGUACAGCCGCCAUCGUUAACGCACAGGAAUUUAAAGCAUGGCCCUGCUUGCGCCGAAGCCACGCUAAUAUUGGCCAUUACUAUUAUUGCCAUUAACACCAACAACAAAACUGCAACGCUGCCCAUUUUCAUUUUCAUUGCCAUUUUUCCUUCCUCUUCCGUUUCCCAAAGCUCACCUCAAUCACACAGAUGCAGAUGCUCAUCUAAACUCAGGUAAACAUAACUAAAUAGCAUGGGAAUUCUCUUAUUUUCAUCGCCAACUCGGCCUGCUUUUAUUCUCCAAAACCUUAUGAUUAAUUCUAACCCUUUUGAGGAAAAUUCUGAUGAAAGAGUACAAAGUCAGACCAAAUGAAACUUGCAUCUCAGUUUAAUGUCACUUGGACGGCAGUGCAAUCAGCUACUCAACUGGGUUCCUUGGAAGGUAAAUUUUUUUUUUAUGGAAGAACAAAUAUCUUAUAAAAUUUGUGCAUGUUUAGUAUUUGUUAGACUAUUUAGCUCCAAAGGAGUACACUGAAACUCAUGCUCGGGGUCUCCUCCAACCUCAACAUGGUUGUCCUUGGACAUCAGAACAUAUCCUAAAAUAAAAUUAGCAGCUUAAGUAUAAUGUAUAAAAUUAGCAACUUAAGUAUAAAGUAGGCUGAAGAAGCAAUUACAAUAACAAAAAUUGGAGAGAUAUAAUGUAUGUUGGAUUGGCUUUAUUUAUCUAUUAUUUGACCACAAAUAGAGUGAAUAGAAUACAACUCUCCUCAAAAUUUAAUCACGAUUUCCAAGGUUUUCACUGAUAAUUUUCAGGCCAAAACUUGUGCUCUGCCCUCCCAAAACAAUUCAUUGCUCACACGAAAACCUUCUAUAAAUACAUCUUCUCAGUUCACAGUACCUCCAAUGUCCGUGAUACAGUGAUCAUGAUCACAACACCAUGUUCUCAAAUAAAAUCACUGACUAGGAAAAGGAAAUUAAGAUGUCUAUAUGUUGUCUCUCAAAUAAAAUCAGUGACUAGGAAAAGGAAAUUAAGAUGUCUAUAUGUUGUCUCUCAAAUAAAAUCAGUGACUAGGAAAAGGAAAUUAAGAUGUCUAUAUGUUGUCCCACA